rnacentral:lncRNA from 10 species
AGGAGCCCCUCCGCCAGGCAGCCACCCCGUCUGGGAAGUGAGGAGCGUCUCCGCCCGGCAGCCACCCCGUCCGGCAGCCACCCCGUCCGGAGCCAUGGAAGUCAAAUGCUGAGGAUGGUGGCAUCAUAGGAUGAAUGGAGCUGGGUUCUUGAAACACUGCCUGGAGGAAAGACAGCAAAAAUGCCUCAUGAAUCCAACUGGACUGUUAGGAUGCUCACCCUUGGAGACCAGCAACAAUGUGUGCAGAAACCCAGGCCAUGUGGAGAGGCCCCACAUACGUGUCCAACUGAGGUCCCAGCUGACAGCUGGCAUUGACAUAAUGUUCACUCUGGGGGAAGCCAGCUGCCACGCUGUAAGGACACUCGGGCAGUCCUAUGAAGAGGCCCGUGUGGUGAGAAAGAGAGGCCUCCAGCCAACAGCCAUAGAUGGGGUCUUGCUAUGUUUCCCAGUUGGAGUGCAGUGAUUAUUCACAGACAUGAUCCCACUACUGAUCAGCAUGGGAGUUUUCACCUGCUCCAUUUCCCACCUGGGAGGUCAUCAUAUUGAUGGCGAGCUAAGUGUGGACACCUGAUCAGCAUAGCACAGUACAGCCCAGAACCCCUGGGCUCCAGUGAUCCUCUUACUUCAGCCUCUUGAGUAGCUGGAACUACAGGCCUGCACCACUGCACCCGGCUAGUUUGUUUUUGUUAGAGUUUUGUCUCUAGGAUUUUCCUCAGCUGAGUAUGUGAAGGCUAACUUCUCCUUGUGAAUCUGCAAAUAUCCUUAUUUUACCCUUUAUUUUACCAUGUAUCAUUUACAGGUAAAUGAUAUCUUAGCUGUGUAUUGAAUUUCUGUUUUUUGUUUUUUCUUCAGUACUCUAUAAAUAUUACUCCAGUAUCUUCUAGCUUCUCCCAUUUUCUCCUAGUGAAUGGUUAUUCUGCUCUUAUCUAGCAGGUGAUAAAUCUGUCAACAGAUAGUUUUUCCUUUUUGUUUUAUGUGUAAGUUGUUAUUUCUUCCUUAAAGUUCAUAAUCUUUUCCCAUUUAUUCUCUAAAUUUUAGACUAUAACCAGGAUGUGUUUAGGUUGAUAUCUUUGCUUAUCUAUUCUGCCUGGAAAUCAGGAACCUCUUCCAAUAUUCAGACUUGUGUUUUCAGCUCAGAAUAAUUAUUUUAUCAUUUGUUUGAUUAUUCCUUUAGUUGCACUGGAUCUUAGUUAAAAUGCCCAUUCUGAUUCAAAGUAUCUGGAAGGCAAGUAUUUGUCAACUAAGGGAAAGGUGACCAUGCAUCAUUGGUUUUGCUGAGACUACCUGGUUUACACCUUCAGGCUUUAUACUUAGAAAAUAUUGCGAUCAUCUUCUGGUCAUGAAGUUACAAACUUCAGGACAAAGGCUAACCAGCUAAGACUAGCAGAGCAAAUUCCAAGAACUUGGGGCUUUAAUUAACUUGAAUUGAUUUGGACUUGCCCUACCUUUAACUUCACACUGAGAUAAAAAUUCCCCACAUUUUCAAGCCAUUUUUGAGAUGAGUCUCUUAUGGUUGAAAGCAUCCUAAUUUAUACAACAUCCUUUUGGUACCUAACUAAAUAUUCACCAAUAUUUGGCACAUUUGUUAAAUCUUUUGGUGUGUGCCUCUUCUAUGUAAUGUAAAUAUGGUCUGAAUAUCCAUUCAGAAAUUAUAGUUGAUUUGCAAAAAUAACUACUAUAUCACCUAUAUUAAUUGAUAGUUAUUCCUUCCCAACCUUCUUUCACUCUUCCAUAUAUAUACAGAGUAAAUCUACAUCAUUAUGUUGAUUAAACAAAAUAGCAGUGAAAUCAGGAUGUUACUGCUCAUUGUGCAUUUAUUUCAAUUAUGGAAAAAGCCAACACUUUACUCCCUUAUUUAACACUUCUGUAGAAAAGCAGUUGAAAUAACCUAGUGUCAUUCUAAAAUGAUUUGUAUACUAUGUAGACCAGAAUCUAGGGCUAUACCUAAAAAUACAUAAAUGAAAUUAUUCUAGAAGUUAAAUCUUCAUGAAAAAACAAAUUAAAUGGUUUACUAACCUCAAGCUGAUUAAAUGUUUUUAUUAAAUGCAGCCUCAGCCAGCACCUCUUUUCAUGGCUGCAAUAAUUAAGUAUAAUAAAUAUUCAAAUCAGUAAUUGAAUUUGUUAAAAAAAACAUGCUCAGCUCAGUGAAGACUUUCUAAUAAAUAGAAUUCAGGUACCAUAUUUUCAUACUUCAUGACACUUGCCUCAUCUUAGUUUGAUGACUGCCGUUUCUUGCACUGUAACAAGAUUUUAUUUUUAUUUUGUUUUACGCUAUUCAAACAAAUACAUUCAAAGUCAUAGGCUACACCUAUGUAUAACCAUAUUCUGAGAGUUGGCUUAUGUGUUUGUUUAUUUUCUCACAAUUAAAGAUAGGUCAGAUGUUGCCAAAUUAGUAAAUAACUAAACUUGAGAUGGGAAAUACUCUAGAGACACAAUCUGCUUAGUUUUGCAUAGUUUUGCAUAGUUUUAGUCACUUUUCCCGUUACUCUGUCCAGCUUUCCAGUAAUACUCAUAACAUUGCCUUGAUUUCAUAUGACCACGCAGUAAAGUGAUUACUGCACUUAGAAUUUUGUUGCUUUUGCUGUGCUAACAACUUAAAAGUUUAAAAUAACUGAUGUUCAAAACAGUGAAGAUUUCCUUUUAUAAACAAGUUGGAAAGGAAAGUUUUUAUGUUAUUAUCCUCAAGUAUUCUAACUAAUAUAAAAUGUCUUUCAGUCUUUUAGGCAAACCAUUUAGACAAAAAGUACAAAUAAUAAAUUUACAUUGUGUUAAGCUGCGAUCAUAUUUCUUUCUCUUGAUUUACUUUUGAAAUUUUCCUUAUGCACCUGGUGAUACUGAAAGAUGAGUCAAAUAGUGUAAUACAAUAGGGCAAUAUGAACUUCUGUUGUAGUUUCCAUUAGUUGCAUCAAUUCAAAUUGCACCUGGAAAAGAUCUAAGCACGACAUAAAGCCAAGACAGCACAUAAGGGUGAUGGCAAACAAUAAUAAUAUUUACAUCUUUUUUUUUUUUUUUUUUGGAGACAGAAUCUCACUCUGUCGGCCAGGCUGGAGUGCAGUGGCGUGAUCUCGGCUCACUGCAACCUCCGCCUCCUGGGUUCAAGCGAUUCUCCUGCCUCAGCCUCCUGAGUAGCUGGGACUACAGGGUCCUGCCACGAUGCCCAGCUAAUUUUGGUAUUUUUAGUAGAGACGGGGUUUCACCAUAUUGGCCAGGAUGGUCUCAAACUCCUGACCUUGUGAUCCACCCAAUCUUCAUUGCAUCAUUUAACUUUCAUUGGUAUCACAGUAAUUCACUAACAUUCAUUCCUUACAGGCAGUUAUGAAUAAUUGAAAAAUUUUUAACAUCAUCUCAUGGGCAAAAGAAUAUUUAUUCAUUGGCUUAGCUUAACAAAUCAUUAUUAAACACCUACUGUGUGCCAGGCACUGUUCUAGACACUGGAGUUACAGCAGUGAACAAAAUAAACACGCUCUCCAGUCUGGUGGAGUUCACAUACUGGUGCGGGGAGAGAGAUGCAUACAAACAAAAAUGCAUAUUUAAUACUUCACCAAUUGAUAGGUGCUAUGAAGAAAAAUAAACCAUAGUAAGGAUGACAUAGAGUGCUGGAUGGAGGUUUUAGUACAUAUACGUUAGCCAGAGAAGGCAUCUCUGAGAAGUUGCCAUUUGAGAAAAAGAGGGAGUAGGCUCAGUGGAUUCUGAGGGAAGAAUAAGUUUGAGAUUCUGAGUCAUUCAUGUCCUUGGCAGAUCAAUAAAGAGGAAGCAGAUGCUGUGGCCGGAACUCAGUGUGCAUGUUGGGGCAGUGGUAGGAGGCUAUGGUUGUAAGACAGGGCUACCUCCCAUAGGGUCUUGAAGACCAUAGUAAAGACUGUGGCAUCUCCUCUCCAGUAGUUUGAGCAGAGGAAUGGUAGCAUUCUACUUAGGAUUUAAAAGGUUUGCUCUAGCUGAUUUGUGGAGAAUAGGUUUGUAAGGCAGCAUAGUGAAUGAAAGGAGAAAAGUUAGGCGAUUGCAAACAUCCAGGUGAGAGUUGAUAUCAGACGGUGAUGGUGUCACAGAUGCGUUUCAUGCGAUGGGCUCAAUUAAUGGCCUCCAUGUUUCACCCUUCUCUUUCUUGGGACUGGCUUGCCUGCUGGAAGGUGAGGAAACAGCCUGUCAUCCCAGCUGAGGCCAUCCUAGAUCAGCCAACUGUCAGCUGCUUGUGUGUCAGUGAACCCCAGCCAAGACCGGAAGACCUGCCCAGCUGAGCUCAGCCAAGAUCAGCAAAACCUCUCAGCUUAUAACCUUAUAAACUUACCAAUUUAGGUGUGGUUGUGACACAGAAUUAUUGUAUUAUUGUAUGCAUGGUGAGUAUUGUAUAUUACACAUGGGAAUCAUAGAAACAGUGAAAAGCCAGUAAUUUCUGAGUAUAUAUUAAAGUUAGGGCAAAUUGUGUGAGGUGGAGAAGCCACAUACUCCAAAUUUCUGGCCUGAGACAUUGGAAGAAUGAAUAUGGAUGAUGGAGGUGGAUAUUGAAUCUGAAAUGAAUUUUUCAUUUUGUGAAAUUUUGUGAAGUUUCAUUUUGUGUUGAAUAUCUUG